CUUGGUCAUUUAGAGGAAGUAAAAGUCGUAACAAGGUCUCCGUUGGUGAACCAGCGGAGGGAUCAUUACCGAGUUUACAACUCCCAAACCCCUGUGAACAUACCUUAACGUUGCCUCGGCGGAUCAGCCCGCGCCCCGUAAAAAGGGACGGCCCGCCCGAGGACCCCUAAACUCUGUUUUUAGUGGAACUUCUGAGUAAAACAAACAAAUAAAUCAAAACUUUCAACAACGGAUCUCUUGGUUCUGGCAUCGAUGAAGAACGCAGCAAAAUGCGAUAAGUAAUGUGAAUUGCAGAAUUCAGUGAAUCAUCGAAUCUUUGAACGCACAUUGCGCCCGCCAGUAUUCUGGCGGGCAUGCCUGUUCGAGCGUCAUUUCAACCCUCAAGCUCAGCUUGGUGUUGGGACUCGCGGUAACCCGCGUUCCCCAAAUCGAUUGGCGGUCACGUCGAGCUUCCAUAGCGUAGUAAUCAUACACCUCGUUACUGGUAAUCGUCGCGGCCACGCCGUAAAACCCCAACUUCUGAAUGUUGACCUCGGAUCAGGUAGGAAUACCCGCUGAACUUAAGCAUAUCAAUAAGCGGAGGA
rnacentral:rRNA from 1 species